GACGAACGCUGGCGGCGUGCCUAAUACAUGCAAGUAGACCGCAGUUGCGAACGGGUGAGUAACGCGUAAGUAACUGCCUAAUAGCGGGGGAUAACUAUUGGAAACCAUAGCUAAUACCGCAUACUGUGAGAUGGAACUACGUGGUAUUAGCUAGUUGGUGAGGUCAAGGCUGACCAAGGCGAAGAUACAUAACCGGCCCUAGAAGGUGUGCGGCGACAAUGGUACUUGGGCACGGCCCAGACACCUAAGGGAGGGAGCAGUAGGGAAUCUUCGGCAAUGGAAGGAAGUCUGACCGAGCAAAGCCGGGGGAGUUAAGAAGGUUUUAGGAGCGUAAAGCUCUGUUGUUAGAGAAGCGGUAACUAACCAGAAAGGGACGGCUAACUACGUGCCAGCAGCCGCGGUAAUAC
rnacentral:rRNA from 1 species